UGGGGAAUAUUGGGCAAUGGGCGAAAGCCUGACCCAGCAACGCCGCGUGAAGGAAGAAGGUUUCGAGUUGUAAACUUCUUUUACCAGGGACGAAGGACGUGACGGUACCUGGAGAAAAAGCAACGGCUAACUACGUGCCAGCAGCCGCGGUAAUACGUAGGUUGCAAGCGUUGUCCGGAUUUACUGGGUGUAAAGGGCGUGUAGGCGGAGAUGCAAGUCGGGAGUGAAAUCCAUGGGCUCAACCCAUGAACUGCUUUCGAAACUGUAUCCCUUGAGUAUCGGAGAGGCAAGCGGAAUUCCUAGUGUAGCGGUGAAAUGCGUAGAUAUUAGGAGGAACACCAGUGGCGAAGGCGGCUUGCUGGACGACAACUGACGCUGAGGCGCGAAAGCGUGGGGAGC
rnacentral:rRNA from 1 species